UACGUAGGGGGCGAGCGUUAUCCAGAUUUACUGGGCGUAAAGCGCGUGUAGGCGGUCCGGUAAGUCCGCUGUGAAAGUCGGGGGCUCAACCCUCGAAUGCCGGUGGAUACUGUCGGGCUAGAGUACGGAAGAGGCGAGUGGAAUUCCUGGUGUAGCGGUGAAAUGCGCAGAUAUCAGGAGGAACACCGGUGGCGAAGGCGGGUCUCUGGGCCGAUACUGACGCUGAGGAGCGAAAGCGUGGGGAGCGAACAGG
rnacentral:rRNA from 1 species